rnacentral:rRNA from 1 species
UACGUAGGGGGCAAGCGUUGUCCGGAUUUAUUGGGCGUAAAGAGCUCGUAGGUGGUUCGGUAAGUCGGAUGUGAAAUCUCCAGGCUCAACCUGGAGGGGUCAUUCGAUACUGCCGUGACUAGAGUUCGGUAGGGGAGUGUGGAAUUCCUGGUGUAGCGGUGAAAUGCGCAGAUAUCAGGAGGAACACCGGUGGCGAAGGCGGGUCUCUGGGCAGUAACUGACGCUGAGGAGCGAAAGCGUGGGGAGCGAACAGG